AGUCGAGGGGUAUAUUUCUUCGGAAGUAGAGACCGGCGCACGGGUGCGUAACGCGUAUGCAAUCUACCUUUUACAGAGGGAUAGCCCAGAGAAAUUUGGAUUAAUACCUCAUAGUAUAUAGACUCGGCAUCGAGAUUAUAUUAAAGUCACAACGGUAAAAGAUGAGCAUGCGUCCCAUUAGCUAGUUGGUAAGGUAACGGCUUACCAAGGCUACGAUGGGUAGGGGUCCUGAGAGGGAGAUCCCCCACACUGGUACUGAGACACGGACCAGACUCCUACGGGAGGCAGCAGUGAGGAAUAUUGGACAAUGGGCGCAAGCCUGAUCCAGCCAUGCCGCGUGCAGGAUGACGGUCCUAUGGAUUGUAAACUGCUUUUAUACGAGAAGAAACACUGCUACGUGUAGCAGCUUGACGGUAUCGUAAGAAUAAGGAUCGGCUAACUCCGUGCCAGCAGCCGCGGUAAUACGGAGGAUCCAAGCGUUAUCCGGAAUCAUUGGGUUUAAAGGGUCCGUAGGCGGUUUAAUAAGUCAGUGGUGAAAGCCCAUCGCUCAACGGUGGAACGGCCAUUGAUACUGUUAGACUUGAAUUAUUAGGAAGUAACUAGAAUAUGUAGUGUAGCGGUGAAAUGCUUAGAGAUUACAUGGAAUACCAAUUGCGAAGGCAGGUUACUACUAAUUGAUUGACGCUGAUGG
rnacentral:rRNA from 1 species